AUUGAACGCUGGCGGCAGGCCUAACACAUGCAAGUCGAACGGUAACAGGGAUCAGCUUGCUGAUUCGCUGACGAGUGGCGGACGGGUGAGUAAUGUCUGGGAAACUGCCUGAUGUAGGGGGAUAACUACUGGAAACGGUAGCUAAUACCGCAUAACGUCGCAAGACCAAAGAGGGGGACCUUCGGGCCUCUUGCCAUCGGAUGUGCCCAGAUGGGAUUAGCUAGUAGGUGGGGUAACGGCUCACCUAGGCGACGAUCCCUAGCUGGUCUGAGAGGAUGACCAGCCACACUGGAACUGAGACACGGUCCAGACCCCUACGGGAGGCAGCAGUGGGGAAUAUUGCACAAUGGGCGCAAGCCUGAUGCAGCCAUGCCGCGUGUAUGAAGAAGGCCUUCGGGUUGUAAAGUACUUUCAGCGGGGAGGAAGGGAGUAAAGUUAAUACCUUUGCUCAUUGACGUUACCCGCAGAAGAAGCACCGGCUAACUCCGUG
rnacentral:rRNA from 1 species